UACAGAGGGUGCGAGCGUUGUUCGGAAUUAUUGGGCGUAAAGGGCGCGUAGGCGGUGCCACAAGUCACUUGUGAAAUCCCCGGGCUAACCUGGGAAUGGCCUUUGUGACUGCACGGCUAGAGUGUGUCAGAGGGGGGGUAGAAUUCCACGUGUAGCAGUGAAAUGCGUAGAGAUGUGGAGGAAUACCGAUGGCGAAGGCAGCCCC
rnacentral:rRNA from 1 species